rnacentral:rRNA from 1 species
GACGUAGGAUGCGAGCGUUAUUCGGAUUUAUUGGGCGUAAAGCGUGCGUAGGCGGCUAUUUAAGUCUGGUGUUAAAGCUAGGGGCUCAACCCCUGUGAUGCACUGGAUACUGGGUAGCUUGAGUGCGGUAGGGGAAGGUGGAAUUCCGAGUGUAGCGGUGAAAUGCGCAGAUAUCAGGAAGAACACCCGUGGCGAAAGCGGCUCUCUGGGACGGUACUGACGCUGAGACGCGAAAGCGUGGGGAGCGAACGGG